UCAAGAUAUCUUGGAGAGUUUGAUCCUGGCUCAGGACGAACGCUGGCGGAGUGCUUAACACAUGCAAGUCGAACGAAGAGCGAUGGAAGCUUGCUUCUAUCAAUCUUAGUGGCGAACGGGUGAGUAACGCGUAAUCAACCUGCCCUUCAGAGGGGGGACAACAGUUGGAAACGACUGCUAAUACCGCAUACGAUCUAACCUCGGCAUCGAGGAAAGAUGAAAGGUGGCCUCUAUUUAUAGACUAUCACUGAAGGAGGGAUUGCGUCUGAUUAGCUAGUUGGAGGGGUAACGGCCCACCAAGGCGAUGAUCAGCUGA
rnacentral:rRNA from 1 species